rnacentral:rRNA from 1 species
GAACGCUGGCGGCAUGCCUUACACAUGCAAGUCGAACGGCAGCACGGAGCUUGCUCUGGUGGCGAGGUGGACGAACGGGUGAGUAAUAUAUCGGAACGUACCUAGAGGUGGGGGAUAACGUAGACGAAAGUUACGCUAAUACCGCAUACGAUCUAAGGAUGAAAGUGGGGGAUCGCAAGACCUCAUGCUCGUGGAGCGGCCGAUAUCUGAUUAGCUAGUUGGGUAGGGGUAAAAGGCCUACCAAGGCAUUGAUCAGUAGCUGGUCUGAGAGGACGACCAGCCACACUGGAACUGAGACACGGUCCAGACUCCUACGGGAGGCAGCAGUGGGGGAAUUUUGGACAAUGGGCGAAAGCCUGAUCCAGCAAUGCCGCGUGAGUGAAGAAGGCCUUCGGGUUGUAAAGCUCUUUGUCAGGGAAGAAACGGUGAAAGCUAAUAUCUUUGCUAAUGACGGUACCUGAAGAAUAAGCACCGGGCUAACUACGUGCCAGCAGCCGCGGGUAAAUA